UACGGAGGUGGCUAGCGUUGUUCGGAAUUACUGGGCGUAAAGGGCGCGUAGGCGGCUUUGCAAGUCGGAUGUGAAAGCCCCGGGCUCAACUCGGGAAUUGCAUCCGAAACUGCCUUGCUUGAGUCCUGGAGGGGGUAGUGGAAUUCCCAGUGUAGCGGUGAAAUGCGUAGAUAUUGGGAGGAACACCUGUGGCGAAGGCGGCUACCUGGACAGUGACUGACGCUGAGGCGCGAAAGCUAGGGGAGCGAACGGG
rnacentral:rRNA from 1 species